rnacentral:rRNA from 1 species
AUUGAACGCUGGCGGCAGGCCUAACACAUGCAAGUCGGGCGAGGGGCGGACGGGUGAGUCAUGUAUGGGGUUCUGCCUGCUGGAGGGGGAUAACUACUGGAAACGGUAGCUACUAACGAAUAGCAUCAGCUGACCCCUUAUGGGAUUGGUUAUUUGGUGAGGUAACGGCUCACCUAGGCCACGAUCCCUAGCUGGUCUGAGAGGAUGAUCAGCCACACUGGGACUGAGACACGGCCCAGACUCCUACGGGAGGCAGCAGUGGGGAAUAUUGCACAAUGGGCGCAAGCCUGAUGCAGCCAUGCCGCGUGUAUGAAGAAGGCCUUCGGGUUGUAAAGUACUUUCAGUCGGGAGGCGUUACCGACAGAAGAAGCACCGGCUAACUCCGUGCCAGCAGCCGCGGUAAUUC